CCAGCUCUUUCUGUGAGCACAGUGAACACAGUCUCUGUUCUCGCGGCUGCCAUCUCUGUCUGUGUCGUCCUCUCUCUAUAGCCAGACAGUGAUCACUCAGUCUGUAUUUUGUUAGUUGUCUAUCUGUGCAU